CUUUGAAUAUGAAAUGUUUUCAUAGGUAUUAUUACAACAUUUCUAUUGCCUGUGAUUAAUUAUCCCAAAUGGCAUUUAGAAUCCCUUUGAACCAAUGAUCAGUGACCAUUCACAGCGUGCAGGUUCCAAAUGCCAAACAGAUAUGCUAAGUAGCCACAAUGCAAACAGCAAGAAAUAUGUUUCUGGGAGAAAAAAAGAAAAACAAAACAAAAACAAAGUAAGGGAGUGGGGAGAAGUAAGUAACAAUCGCAAUCGCUUUAUCAACAUGUGAAGUUCACUGAAAUGGAAGAUUAUUGGGAGAUUUUUUUGAAAGGGAACUUGUGAUCUGGACUCAAAUGCUAAGAUAGAUGUGUCAAGCCUAGCUUGACAGUAAAAGCACCAUACUAGGAUGUGAAACUUCAAGUGAAGAACUGAAAAUAGAAGUGAAACUGAAGUUAACAACUGCUUAUGAACAUUUUAUCCUGCUCUGAGAAAAUAAAUGAAUCUAAUGUAUGAUUUGAUGGUUGUUUUUAUAUGCUUUUCAUUUUAAUAUCAUUUGGCAAGUAGUCAUGAUCUGAAUGUGGUUUGGAGCCAGCACAAGAUAUAGUUGCUUAUAAGAGACUGUCAAUGUGGAGAUAUGUUAGUCCUUUCUGAUACCUGGUGAGAGGGGCAGUGAAAAGAGAUCAGAGGACAUUCUAAAAACAAAAUUUUGACAUUUUUUUAAAACUUCAGAUUGAACUCUACCAGGUAAUUACUUUUAUCUAGGCUUUUUGUUGUUGUUGUGUUUGUUUGUUUGUUUUGUUUUUUCCAGACCCAGCCUUUUUGCCUUCUUUCAGCUGCUCUUCCUGUGACCAAGUUAAAAGUUGGGAAUGGGAAAUCCUUCACUGCUUACACCUAUACUUCACAAAAACAUUGCUGGUCUUGCAAAACACAUGGAGGCACUUGCUAUUUUAAAUCUCUGCCUGCAAUAAGAGUGUAAGAAUUCUGCACAGAAGCUUUCUGAAAGCCAUGAGUACUUAAACAACAUUUUGAGGCACUGCUGUGGUAUUUGAAAAUAUGCAUUGGUCUUGGAAAGAAGUGCAGAUUAAGUCAAUGGCAUCAAGUUAGUCAAGAACGAAGCACAACGUCCAUGCAAAGUUCAGCAUCCUCGGCCUUUGCAUUUCCAGUGGCUCAAGUGAAGUAAAUCAAGGAGAUGAGGAAAAGAAGAGUAUAGCAGAAGGAGAGCAGAGCAAUGUUUUCUGAUCAUCGGUCAGCGGUCAAAGAGGCGCUAAUUAUUUGAUGAUGGCUGAUGGACCACUGAUGGAAUUAUAUUCAGAGGAUGCAGAACAUGGUAGGAAAGUGUUCAUCAGUAAGUUAGAAUUACAAAUGAAGAUGAACAGCUACCACAGGCAGCAGCACUGAUAACCUCCUUCUGUUCUCAGUAGUAUCCAGAUCUGUUUUUUUUUAUGCACAAAUCCCAGAAUUCCUCUUUUGGAGAAUCAAAGACGACUUUAGGCAAUUGGGACCCCAUGUGUCACCUGAGAUGGACCCUUUCUAGAUCAAGGGACUGCCACCCUGAGUCAUAGUCUCAAUCACAAGAUAUCUUGGAGUUGUCUAGAGGAGGAGAACAAAUCUCAUGCUCAGAUUUCCAGUGAAAAUUCUUCUACUGGAGAGGUGCCUACCUAAAAUGAACUGGGGUGGAUGGUGGAACCAGAGCAGCCACAGAAGCAUGAAUAUCCCAGAUGAGAAGAUGCCCUUGCCUGUUCCUGUUCAAGCAAUCUGAGUCGUUUCUGUGUAGGAUGGUGUUGGACUCUAGAGGAUAAAAAUAUAUUUCCAAUGAACAGAAAAAUAACCAAAAUGAAUACAUCAAAGAACCCCAAAUAAACUGCCAACAGAUGUGAAAAUCCAGAAGACAGAGGCUGAAGCGUUCUUGCUUUUUAGCUUUGGGAUUACUUUUGCAUACUCUGACAGUUUUCCCUUAUAAACGAGAUUGGUGAUAGCUACAGCUGUGGAAUGCAAGAAAACUGAUGCAAACUUUGCCACCAGAAUUAAGAAGAGAACAUUUUUUUCAAACCAGAAGUUGGCAGAAUUCCUGUUUUUCUGUCUUCACCUUCCUCCUUGCUCUCCCAGGUCUGUUACUAAUUAUCAGAAGUGGGGAAGAGGAAGUAUAUGCAAGAUCACAAAGAGGAAAUACAAAUGUGCAGGUGUUUUGCCCUGAGGAGUUACAGCUUGCUUUCUGAGAAUACGUAGUAGGAUUUUGUGUCGUUUGAGUUUAUUGUACUCAGAACAGGAUAAGAGUUGGUGUAAAAAGUUCUACCCUUGUUGUAUUUAAGGCUAGGAAUUUUAGCUUUGGCCUUUAGCCUAAGUGAUUGAAAAGUGCAUUUGUAUUUAUUGUUUAACUGACCAGAAAAUGCACCGAGUGGAUGACAUGUUGGACUGUGUGGAAUGGGAAGAUUAAUUCAUUUUCAGAUUGAAAAAGAUGGAUUUACUUAUGAGGAGACUGUGAAGUUAAAAGAGAUGUUUUCUAUAUACGUGUAUAGGUCAGGCUGGGGUAGGAUAAUCUCAACAGAUGAAAUUAAAACAGAGUAUGUGAAAAACUCUCCCACAUCUUGGAGAGACUCACCAUUCACUGUGGCUGCACUGUGUUGGUGCAUUGGUUCCCAAAUACCUACUUGCUUGUGGGUCGUGCAGAAGAAUGGAGAUUCGGAACUCAUCCAGAAAAACUGGACUGGAGGAGAUUAAAGGAGAGUUAGGAAGACAAAUGGUUUCUCAGAGCAUCAUUUCUCAUUUCCAGGUCUCUGACAGAGCAAUUGUCAAGAGAUUGGACUCCUAUUUUGUCACCCAGUGUGUUCAGAAUAACUUUUGUCUUGGGAAGUAAUAUUAGAAAUAUAAAGCCAAAUACAUUCUGUUAAGUAAAAUUAUUUACUACUUUGACUUUUCAGUCCUUUGUGCUGUGGUUCACGAAGGUAUCCUCAAUUCUUUACAGCUUACCCAGGCUGUCUGUAGAAGGAGGACGGUCCAUCAAAGCUACUCUUUUCCUGCAUCAGGAUCUGCUGGCACUUUUUUGGUGUUUCGACUGUUAGUGCCUCUUCUUUUGUGGUGGUAAAGCUUUUUUUGUGGUGAUAAAGCCUUUUCCAUUUGAAAAAGGACCUACUGAGCUUAGGGCACAGCUCUCAUUUGCCAUUACCAGGAGAAUGACCCUUGCCAGUCAGCUGCUCUGAUUGUGUGCUCACAGCCCAGGCAAAAAUGCUCUGAGAAUUUGUUUUUUAAGAGUUGCUAUUGAUAGUGAGGCAUAUUAAAAAAUUCAAAUUUUCUUUUAUUAGUGAAUAAGGAUGGUGCCUAUAGAAGAAUCACAGGGAAGAUGAAACAGUGAAGGGCAUGGAUAAUUUAUGAUGGAGCUACGAGGAUCUACAUGCUAUGUGUGUCAAGGUCUGAGCCAAGGGCUUUAGUCCUGACUCACUGACCUUUCAGCCCGCCAGCUCAGUUGUCUCACAUAAGGCGACCACUGGAUGGAGAGGAAGAAGUUUGGCACCUGUGGUUUAAGUUAGCAUGGUCCAGUCUACACUAUACAUCCUCCAGAUGGAUUAAGAAAUGGCUGGUACCCUGGUAAUGGCUAUUUCCUCACUGAGGUUGCUGUUUGACUGUGCACUAGUGUGGACACACAAGUAUCAUAUUUGGGAACAACUACAUUAUACACUUCGCUAAUGAGAGAGAAGCAGGAGUAUGUUUACUGAUACAAUAUAGAUAUAAUGUAGUGAUUUAACAGUGACUUAACUAAGAUUUGAGAUGGCUGUAUGCACUUGAUUAUAGAUAUUAGGGUUAAAUACACACAUACAGGAGACCUUCCCAUUGAGUCACGAUGUUCAAAGUAGAACCCCUUGCUUUCUAAAAUCUUUGAACCACAGAGGGAAGGAGCCUAAGUGCAGCUGGAUUCACUCCUAGUCCCAGGCUUUGUCAGUAGUUUAUACCUAAGGAAUUGUAUGUGCACAAUCAGUCCAAAAUGUGAUUUUGGCAAAGCUAGCAAAGCUUACAGUGAAUCUAAGAUAUAAUCUUAAUGAAGCUAGCUAAACUUAAAAGAAACUAUUAGUCACAUUCACAAGAUCUGCACUGGCAAGGCGUGUUGUCAUCAAGGUGUAAGGGAUCUCUGCAUGACCUCAAGAGGCAUCCCUACUUGAUGUGAGACUGUCUUGCAGCCCCACUCAAGGAGCUCUUGGGCUGCUCACUAUUUGUGGUGUAAGAUAAAUGGAUUCACAGGCAUGCUUUGCUUUUAGGUACCUUAGCUGUUGAACCAGGUGUCUGCUAUCAGUUCUUUCAUCCUCCCACUUUGAGACAGAUUUGUGGUUGUUAAUCUGUUUUAGCGAGAGUGCUAUCAGUACUGUUGCUCAUUGUUUUCUUGUGCAAGGCUGGGCUGGAGGAGGAAGUUGGGAGAAAAAAAUCAGGGAGAGAACGCCCUCACAGUGAGGCUGGCUUAGAGCUGGUUGGUCAAGUCCUCCUCAAAUGAGCAAUGCUGAAAUAGCCUGAGGGGCAAGCAGGACAAUAAAAUAGCCCUGAGAUAAGCUGUUUGUUUGCUUGAUACAGGUUUAAUAAGCUAUCUGCAGUCAUGAUGGAUGCUGAGAUCAAAGAAUGAAUGAGACUUUGUUCACGGAGAUUUAUUCUUUGCCCUGGGAAGGAGCAUUGAAAAGUAUGGAAAAAUAAGAGAAAUUUCUGAAUAGCUCCUACUUCAGCUCAGAAUUUAUAAAGUGUACUUAAAGUGCAAGAAAAGGUGAGAACUGAAAAAGGAAAAUCAAAGUAGAGGAACAAUAAAUGGCAAAAUACCCCAGGCAUACCAAACUUGUUACUGUGGUGUAUGAGGUUGUGUCUUUAAAUCUAUAUGGUUUUCAGAAAGCCAAAUUGGGAUACUGUACUUUCCCUAGUUUCUCUGAAGAAAUUUAAUAAACUGAAGUUAAUUAUUAGUAAAUAAUAUCUUCAAAUGAUUAUCUCAAUCUCUCUGCUUAGACUAUCUUCCUGUCAAAUAAAUAUUUAUUCCAAUUUUUUUAAAUUAAGCGUAAAAAAGUGUGCAUCAUGUAACCUAGACAAAAAUUGAUACAGGAGAAGGCCAGGCUUCUCCCAGCUUAAGUUUCUGUAAUACUUAAAUAUUCAUGUGAUUUGCAGUAUAGCAUCGUUCAGUACCUUCUUCUAGUCCUACCUGGAUGGACAGUACCUCUGAAGAGUAUAUUGUGAAUGUGGAAAAGAGGAACUUCACUUUCAAAGAAGAAGCAGAAGCUGACCUCAGCACUGAGAUGCUUUACCCUAUUGAAAUGUAGGAAUAAUAUAUGGAGCAGCACUAGUACAAACUGCUGAACUGCCUUGGCAGCACUCCAAACGACUGCUCUUUCUGAUGGAGUUUUUAAUACUUCAAGAAGACAUAGUGUGCACAUUUAGAUGCCAAUAAAACAAUUCCCUGUAGGAUCCAUAGGCCACAUUUCAUUGCUAAAUUAUGAUGCCAGUGUGAAUGAUUGACCACCAAUCGCCGGUGAAGCAUUUCUGCACACCCACGUUGAGUAGUGCUUUUGCUUUUCUCUGUUUAAUCCCUCCUUUUGGUAAACUCUGACACUGCUUCAGCCCUUGACUGUGAAGAUUUUGUCCAUCUCUAAAUGCGCAUGUUGUGCCAUUGCUGCUGAUGUUAAAGAAGUGCUAACAACCUGACAAUUUAUUGACUGGAGCCUGACCUUGUGUUCAUGAGUUGUGAGAUGCUGUGGCCAGGAUUUGGUUGGUCUCCAGACAAAAAGCUAUAUUAAAUGAACCAGAGGAGAAAUCCACAGAUGCAAUUCUGUUGCUGCAUCUGGCAAUCGAGAGAGGAAUGAGAAGGGAACUAAAAAUCCCAUUACAAUUAUUCUUGGGUGCUUGGGUAAGAGUUUUCUGUUUCAGAAAAAUCAAAUAACUUUGAAUCUAUGCUCGAUGUAGUCUAAGUUGUAUGCAACAGGAGGGGAAUAAGCUCAUUAAACUUGACAAGAAGGAAGGGUGACCUUCUUUUGGGGUGAGUUUAAAGAAUUGGAGUACAGAUUAGGAAAAGUGAUCUGAAAGAUUUCCCUGUGGAGUGGUCAGUACACUGAAAUUUUGCUCAACUUUUUGAAAACUCCCCUUUCCAAGAUUUUGUAUAGAUUAUUUUAGUAACAGGAUUCAGAGGCUGAAUUUCGUUGUCACACCUGUGAUUUGGAAUAAGUAUCAUUAACUCAUUAAAAGGAUUUCAUAGAAAAUUUGACUCAUCAUGGGAGAAUGUGAUUCGCGUGAAGUACAAGACCUGGCCAAAUAGAGGAGGAAGAUAAGUGCCCCAGCAUCCUAUUUCUUGUGUAUAUAAUACAGGAUAAAUUGUAUGAAAAAUGCAGUAAAAGCAAACAGGGAUUAGUUAAUCGGCUAACUCUCAGUAUAAUAAUCUAAGCAACUGUUAUGUGGUUUCUUCACAUUAUAAGCUUUUUACCUAGUGUGAAGAAUUCUCAUCAAGAAAAUGGAGAGAUGAACUAGGAAAGAAAACCCUUUCUGUAAUAAUUACCUGUCUUCAUUUUUUAGAAAGCCUAAUUUUUCAGAAGCGGAAAUUAAUUUUGUUGACACACUCAGCCUAAGUGAAGAAAUCUCAAGUAAAAUCGCAGCUUCCCGAAGUCAACAAAAAACUUGUAUUUGUGCCAGGAAUCUGUGCAUUUUUGACAGAAAUUUACCACAAAGUUUUGAUUCUUGAAAGCCAUGGGAUAUCUCAGCGUGUGCAUCCAAAAGAUAAGGAAGGAUAACAUAGAGACUCUGAAAAUUGUUGUCUCAUCCUGCUGACAAGAAAUGCAAACAUGGAAAAAUUAAGAAUAAUAUUUAUGUACAGCAUUGCUUAGGCUAUAAUUGCAUAGGUUCCAAAUACGAAAAAUGAGAUGGUUUAAAGCACGAUCCUUUAUCCAUGUAUGUAGGGCUUCAGUAAAAAUUGGCUUUUUUUCAUUUGAAGUUUUCUUGCUUGGCACCAGGCAUUAAUGAUUUUUGUCCAUUUGAAAAAAAAAAAUCAUUAAAACAUCCAACUGUUCAGUUGGAAUUAUCAUGGUUGCAGCUGGAAAUAAAGCUCUAGUAGUGAAAAAUACAGGACGGAUUUCUGAAAAGCUUUGUUUUUUCUUUUCUGCCUGAAAAUUGAUAGGCAGAUAUCAGCUAAUUGAAUCACAGAAUCCUUCGAGUUGGAAGGGACCUUUAAAGGUCCUGUAGCCCAACUCCCCUGCA